UCUUCGAUGAUAUAUGCACGUGACGUCACCGUAACUAGUCAUUUUUGUCUCUUCGCCCUUUAGGCUUGUGUACUAAGCUGAUUCGGAAAUAAUAACGUUUUUUUUAAACUGCAAAGAAUAAAGAAAGACGCGGGACAACUGGAAUCCAGUUCCCAGAUAGUCCUGGCUGCCGGCCCUGCCACUGCUGCUUACUAACAGAGUGUGGACAGCAGGGGAGGAUAGAGUACUCCUCCAGGGGGGUGGGACGCUUCCAGCUGGGUCGCUGAGGUGUGGAGCUCGCCUCGGGGUAAGCCUCUUGUACUUUCUUCAAGGGAAAAUUCCCCAUUUCUCCGUUUCCCAUCGGCUGGCUUGUGGCUUAAAAAGACACACUUUAUUAUACUUUGGAGGUUCCAGGCAGCAGUGGACAGUAUGGAGUUGAUAGUUUGUGUCCAGCCUCAGGACAGAGGGACUCCUAUGUGCUGCUCUGUGGUGGGUUGUGUUCUCUGGAGCAGUUAAAAGCCUGGCAGCUCCACCCCAUGACUGUCCAAACACAGUUGACUUUAGGCAUCCACAUCAAACACAACUCUCUGCGAAGCCCUUCGGAAACUUAACCACAGGGUGCUGAGCUUAUUUAUUUAUUUUCCACAUAUAAAAAUGUGUUUGGCUUCAGAUUUUUUCACAUUUAGAAAAAAAAAGAAGCAAAAUUCACCCGUUAGCGUUUGUAAUUGACGGCACAAAGCUGUAUUUGAAGAACAUUUUUGACACCGCUCCUGGUUGAACUCAACUCCUCUGGACCAAGUCGAAAGCAAGAUUCAGAGCGAGUAACAAGAAAAGACAAGUCAACGAAAGCUCCUUUCAGUCUGCUCCUCAGCGGCACUCACAACGGACAUGUCGGAGUGAAAUGAACUUUCCUGGCAAUGUGUGUUUUAGAGCGCACACACUGCAAUCACUAAUUCAUCCUGCCUUGAGAUCCUUUGACGUUGACGUUUGAGGGUGGAUGCUAUGUGAAAAUGUAAAUAAACUUUAGAGGAGCUUUGGGUCAGUGUGGGAUGAAAUUUAUAGUUUUGGCAUUUACUCUGCAGUCAUCAUUCAUCCCCCUGUCGAGAGCAGAGGCCUUGAUCAGCGAAGCCUCCGUUGGCCCUCAGAUGACCCGCAAGCCUAUCUGACCAGCUGUGGUUCAGAUGCCUUAGUCUGAGAUGUUCACAUCACUGUAAUAUCUGAGACUAUUAACCCCUUCUGCACUUCAACAGCUUUUCCAGUGCUAGCAGGAAAUGCAGAACAUUUAGAUCUUUGGGUUAAAUAUUAAAAGAAAAAAAAAAUUUUUUUUUUUUUAAUCCCAAGUAGUAUCAAGCCUUGGGUUUUGCUGUAUCUGCCACUAAACAUUGUGUUGCUAUCCCAAUACAAUGGAAGGUUAGGGUAAUGGAAAACAAUGUUCCUGACUCUGGAUAAUCUGGAGAUCUCACUGUGGAGAGUUUUAAUUAGGACUUUUUAUGAUGUACAAAGUAGUUCUGAGAAAAGGUUUAAUCAGUGACUUCUGUGUAUUAUCCAAUUAACCAGUACAUUGUUUCUGGAAAGGGAUAUUGCUGUUGAGUUUUCCAAAUUUUUAAUCUCUUUGAGCAUCACAAACAAAUUUCAUUCACUUCCAUACUGGUCUGGUGGCAGAAAACCUGAUAUCUUAAAACCUUGGCACAUAAAAGGAAAACUAUCUGCAUGGCUAGAUACUACUAGAAGUAAAUGACAAAGUAUCUCUUUUUUGUGAUUUGGGUGAACCAACCCUUUUUAAAGGAAGGAAGGAGGGGAAAAGAAACUAGAUUUUAAUGGAUUUGGCAGCCACUCCAAACUCUACAGGGUAUGUGCACUCUGCAACAGAAUGUACAGCCCUGUAAAAGCCAAAUCAAAGUCUAAUAAUGAGAAGGUGGCCUUCAAGCAAAGUGCCAAUUAUUUUAAAUUGCUCCAUUAAAGGCAGCAAUCACAACUGUCAUGUUAGCAUUUGGACAUAACGUCUCACCUCUGGUGGUUGGAGUUCAUGUGGGUGUAACUGUAGUGUAAUAAACACAUGUAGAUUUACAUAACCUCAUGAAACAAAUGAAUUUGUUUGCUGACUGCUUGCCAUAACACAUAACUGACUGACGACAAAAAAGCUUGGCAUUUUCUCACUUCAACUGAGAGAACAAAGUCUUAUGCUGUUUUUCCUCCUUUUAACAGGUGAGUGCUCCAGCUAUUAAUUUGUGUAGGGCCACCUACUUUAAUUGGUCUUAAUCUGGCAUGAGUGGCUUUGAUCUCUCUGACAGUUUGACUGCAUUAGCACGAGUGUGCAGGCUAAUCCUUGCGUAGCUUGUUCUUUUGGCGCAGUCGGAGGCCUGUCCAGCGAUAAUAUGUCAGCUGAGGGAUAAGCCUUCAUCAAACAACCAGGUCUAAGCUUCUGGAAAAUGGGGGUUGAAGGGCCACCAUCAUGCUGUGCUUCAAACAGAGAUAGAGACGUAAAACAACUCUGGCUUUCAGUUUGUAAGCGUUAGAUCAAACCCCAAGAGGGACAUUUUCAAGGUUUUCAAAUUUCCUGUCCUUUAUGCAAACUUGUUGUUGUGUUUUGGCAUCUUAUGUCCUGUGACCGACCACUCAUUGCUUUAUGUUAAACGCUUUUACGCAGUCACCUAACCUCAAGCGAGUCCUGGGUGUUAAAAUGAAUUCUUUAUAUGUGUCAUCCCACCACUGUUCACACACACUGCAUGCAUGAUCCACAUGUCCAAACAGUGGCUUUAUUUGUGCUGUGUCAUUUUAUUAGGAAGUAACAACCAUAUGAAGUGUUUGGCCUGAACUCGAGUUGAACUCUCAUGCAUUAUGAUAACCAUCUCAAAGUCAACAAUAUCUGCUUUCAGAGAGGAAUAGAGAGAUAGUGUUUGAAAUGAAGAAAAUAGCAGCACUUGUGCUUCCCCAGUGAUUAUAUCACACAUCAUGGUGAUUUACUUAUCACGACAGGCAUAUCUUGAGUUCAGUGGAUCUUUUGUUUUUGUGUUCUGUGAUGGAGGAAUGUUAGGUGAUCUUUCUUCAGGGUUGCAUGUGGAAAUGCCAAAUAUAUCAGUUAAUGCUAAUUCAAUAAGUACAGAUAGAAAGCAAAUGGGUUCACAGAGGAUAUUAUAGUCAUGAAUCAAUUUAAGAAUCAUUGUUUUCUCAACUUUUACUGCCUUUGAAAUUUGUAUUUUUAGUA